rnacentral:rRNA from 1 species
GGGGGAAGCUCGGGAACUCGAAUUAAUACCGCAUACGACCUACGGGAGAAAGGGGGCAACUUGUUGCUCUCGCUAUUAGAUGAGCCUAAGUCGGAUUAGCUAGAUGGUGGGGUAAAGGCCUACCAUGGCGACGAUCUGUAGCUGGUCUGAGAGGAUGAUCAGCCACACCGGGACUGAGACACGGCCCGGACUCCUACGGGAGGCAGCAGUGGGGAAUAUUGGACAAUGGGGGCAACCCUGAUCCAGCCAUGCCGCGUGUGUGAAGAAGGCCUUUUGGUUGUAAAGCACUUUAAGCAGUGAAGAAGACUCCGUGGUUAAUACCCACGGACGAUGACAUUAGCUGCAGAAUAAGCACCGGCUAACUCUGUGCCAGCAGCCGC